CUGAAGGGCGCGUUCGGGUCAAUUGCGGCAUGCAACACCCGAUCUCCCUCCACGAACCACCAGGAAUGGCGGUCUCGGAAGGAGAGCGCGUGACCAUCAG
rfam:Halobacterium sp. NRC-1, complete genome.